AGAAUCAACGCUGGCGGCGUGCCUAACACAUGCAAGUCGCACGAGAAAGGGGAGCAAUCCCUGAGUAAAGUGGCGCACGGGUGAGUAACACGUGAAUGAUCUACCUCCGAGUGGGGAAUAACCAAAAGAAAUUUGGCUAAUACCGCAUAACACUUACGAGUCAAAGCAGCAAUGCGCUUGGAGAGGAGUUCGCGGCAGAUUAGCUAGUUGGCGGGUAAUGGCCCACCAAGGCGAUGAUCUGUA
rnacentral:rRNA from 1 species